AUUGAACGCUGGCGGCAUGCUCUACACAUGCAAGUCGGACGGCAGCGGGGUAGUGCUUGCACUACUGCCGGCGAGUGGCGAACGGGUGAGUAACAUAUCGGAACGUACCGAGCAGUGGGGGAUAACUAAUCGAAAGAUUAGCUAAUACCGCAUAUAUUCUGAGGAAGAAAGCAGGGGACCUUUGGGCCUUGCGCUGUUUGAGCGGCCGAUAUCUGAUUAGCUGGUUGGUGGGGUAAAGGCCUACCAAGGCGACGAUCAGUAGCGGGUCUGAGAGGAUGAUCCGCCACACUGGGACUGAGACACGGCCCAGACUCCUACGGGAGGCAGCAGUGGGGAAUUUUGGACAAUGGGCGCAAGCCUGAUCCAGCCAUGCCGCGUGUCUGAAGAAGGCCUUUCGGGUUGUAAAGGACUUUUGUCCAGGGAAGAAAAGGGCGGGGCUAAUACCCCUGUCUGAUGACGUACCUGAAGAAUAAGCACCGCUAAUA
rnacentral:rRNA from 1 species